rnacentral:rRNA from 1 species
UGGGGGAUAUUGCACAAUGGGCGAAAGCCUGAUGCAGCGACGCCUCGUGGGGGAUGAAGGCCUUCGGGUUGUAAACUUCUUUUGCUCUGAACAAGGCAUGCCAAUGGGUGUGUUGAGUGUAGGGGUUGAUUAGCGCCGGCUAACUACGUGCCAGCAGCCGCGGUAAUACGUAGGGCGCGAGCGUUGUCCGGAAUUAUUGGGCGUAAAGCGAGCGCAGGCGGUCAAUUAAGUCUGAUGUGAAAGCCCCCGGCUCAACCGGGGAGGGUCAUUGGAAACUGGUUGACUUGAGUGCAGAAGAGGAGAGUGGAAUUCCAUGUGUAGCGGUGAAAUGCGUAGAUAUAUGGAGGAACACCGGUGGCGAAAGCGGCUCUCUGGUCUGUAACUGACGCUGAGGCUCGAAAGCGUGGGGAGCGAACAGG